CAUAAUCCUCCCACUAACUUCACAAAGUCAGUUUAUGGAAGACUAGAGAUAAGUCAGUUCGACCAAUAAAUCAUAAAUCCUUCUACUAACUUUACCAAGCCAUGAAGAGGACUAAGACAAGUCAUGCUCGGGGCAUCUAAAUCAGUUAUACUGAUUUUUUAUGUAGCAUGGGUUAGCAUGAAUCAAUGAGCAACCAAAUCAAAAGUUGAUUCACCACAUUGACUAGGUAAGUG
rnacentral:lncRNA from 1 species